GCCGAUGAUCCACGAAAAACCUUACCACGAUUUGCAUAUUACAUUUCAAUGUAAUACAGGUGUUGCACGGCUGUUUUCAGUUAAUGUUGUGAAAUUAUGGGUUUUCCAUGAAUUAACAGAAUCCUUUGCUUUAUUUAUUAUUCUAAUAAUUAUUAUUAGUAAUUUUAUACAGCACUCUUUUUAAAGAAUGAAAAGAUAAGAAGGAAUAAGACAAGUCAUCAUGGCCCUUAUAUUGUGGGCU
rnacentral:ncRNA from 1 species